rnacentral:rRNA from 1 species
UGGGGAAUAUUGGACAAUGGGCGAAAGCCUGAUCCAGCAAUGCCGCGUGAGUGAAGAAGGCCUUCGGGUUGUAAAGCUCUUUUGUCAGGGAAGAAACGGUGAGAGCUAAUAUCUCUUGCUAAUGACGGUACCUGAAGAAUAAGCACCGGCUAACUACGUGCCAGCAGCCGCGGUAAUACGUAGGGUGCAAGCGUUAAUCGGAAUUACUGGGCGUAAAGCGUGCGCAGGCGGUUUUGUAAGUCUGAUGUGAAAUCCCCGGGCUCAACCUGGGAAUUGCAUUGGAGACUGCAAGGCUAGAAUCUGGCAGAGGGGGGUAGAAUUCCACGUGUAGCAGUGAAAUGCGUAGAUAUGUGGAGGAACACCGAUGGCGAAGGCAGCCCCCUGGGUCAAGAUUGACGCUCAUGCACGAAAGCGUGGGGAGCAAAC